rnacentral:rRNA from 1 species
ACUCCUACGGGAGGCAGCAGUAGGGAAUCUUCCACAAUGGACGAAAGUCUGAUGGAGCAACGCCGCGUGAGUGAUGAAGGUUUUCGGAUCGUAAAACUCUGUUGUAAGGGAAGAACACGUACGAGAGGUAAUGCUCGUACCUUGACGGUACCUUACGAGAAAGCCACGGCUAACUACGUGCCAGCAGCCGCGGUAAU